rnacentral:tRNA from 1 species
GCGGGCGUGGUGAAACUGGCAUACACAGCGGCUUUGGGAGCCGCCGGACUUUGACGCUUCCCACCGGAAGUCAGUCCAUGCGAGUUCGAGUCUCGCCGCCCGCA